ACAGUUCUUUGUUCUUGAUUGCGAAUUAUAUUUAAGACAAUGCAUUACUUUUACUGUAUUUUAUUUUAACAAUAGGCUUAUUUUUGUUAUCCAUUCAAUUUAUUGAACUUGUCGAAAUCACUUAUCUUGUAGGCUUUAAGGGCAAAUAGCUACGUGUGCAAUGCAAAUUCAUAAAAAAAAUUUUAAGAAUUUUAAGAAAUUUAAGACAAUAUGCUUCUUGAUUGCAACGAAUAUUAAAGGAAAUGUAGACCUUUUGUAAUAAUAUUUUAUGUGAUGUUAGUAUUGAUGGUGCGGUACACGUUUUUGAUAAACAACCCAGUUAAUAAAGUUAAUAACGUUAAAGCCUAAAUUUGUGCUAAAAACUAAGCAACUUGUUGCCCAAUCUUCAGUCAUAACAUUCUUGCUUUUCCCAUUCGAUGAAAUUCUUAAACGCUAUUCUAAAAGGUUGACGUUACUAAAACCCCCCGCCAACAUACUAAUUUUGUUUACCAACAUUUAGCCGAAUAUAUAUAUGAUUAACAGUGAAGAUACUUAUCGACAUGCACCAGACAUAUUGAUUUUUAAUAUGUUUUGGACAGAAGUAUUGCCUUGAAAGAUCCAUUUUUAGUCAGUCCUAGUUAAAUCAAACUAUACAAACAUUUUCAAGAUAGCUAUACACUAGGCUGUUCAGUCACGUGACUUUUUGCCGUGUUCGGAAAUUCAGCUUAAAACAAGCUCGCACACGGCAACGCGUAUUUUGUUAUUGCGCGUGAUGGCACUUAUUUUAAAUCGUCGAAUUCGGCACCUAUUUCGCUUAAGACAGAUGGUGUAUGGGCAGAUAGUGAUUGUUAAGUACCUUAAAUUUGUUUUUUUGAAUGAGACUUGUUUAAACGACCAACAGUGUAUUCAGAUUUCGACGAGGGAAAUGUAAACUUGGCGCAAACAGAGGAAAGUGCAUGACGUAUCAGUCUUGGAAUGAUGGCUAUUAAUCAUGGCUAUGUGCUAGAUAUUCCAGUUAACAUUAGACACAGCUACUAAACUAAAGCACCAAAGCUAGCUAGCUACCUAGCUAUAUAUAUAUUAGCCGAAGUAGUGGACCAGAAGAUGGAGUGUGUGAUGUUGUGUUUAAUUAUUCCAUACCACUGUGUGGUUAAUAGAUAAAGGUAUAU